rnacentral:misc_RNA from 1 species
AAAGCCCCCACCAUGGUUCUGAGUUCUUUUGCUUGGAGGGGAUUGGCCUUAGCCGUUCUGGUAAAGGUAUGUCUGUCCGUGUCCAAUAGAUGCCUUCCAGGAGAUGACUGCUUUCCAACCAAUCUGGAGGUCAUAAAGUUCAUGGAGACCCUAGAUGGAACACUGCAUUUCCCCCACAUGGCAUCAUACGACACAUUAGUUGUACAGAGGGAAACCAUUUACACGAAAUUUCCCUUCGCUAUCAUGGAGGCCAAAAACAUUAACGACGUCCAAAAGAGCGUCCUUUUUGCCCGGAAAUGGAACAUGUUGGUCUCUGUUAAGACCUCUGGACACGAUUUCAUUGGUCGCUCCACGGCGCACGGAAGUCUCAUGAUUUAUCUGGGUAGCAUGAAUGAUACAAAAGUCAAUCUAUCCUCCACCAGAAAUCCCGCGGGAGAGAUCACAUGCGAGAGCGGAAAUACUUGGCUUAAAGUCUACAAUGAGGUAGAUAAAAUCAACCGUGUAAUCAUAGGCGGAAGCGCCCAUACAGUAAGCAUGGCCGGGUACACGCUAGGGGGCGGCCAUAGUCCUAUGUCCCGGAUGUUUGGAAUGGCUGUCGACAACCUUCUGGAACUGGAACUCGUUACAGCAGACGGUCGUAUUGUCGUGGCAAACGAUCAGAUGACCCACAUUACGUACCCUAACGGUAGCGUGACCACUUCAGACGACACCGACAUUUUCUGGGCCUCCAAAGGUGGCGGCGGGGGGACGUUUGGCAUAGCAACCAAAUUUACGUACAAGCUUCACUACCCCGCUCCCCAAGUUGUACAAUUUGUUUGUGGCUACCCGAUAAUUCGUCCAGGUGGGCAAGAUAUAGGUUUUACUGUUUUAAAGAAAAUGUUUUUGAUGGUUCAGAAUUUGCCCAAAGAGUGGGGAGGAUAUCUUGUUGCCUCUGGACUUCCAGGUGCCAAUGGGAACUGGGGGAGCAUCGUCCUAGCUAUGAACCAUUACGGGAAUUAUGUGUCUGCCUCACGCCGGUACAUGGACGAUUUGUUUUUCUUCCACAAAGAAUGGCAAUCGUUUUGCUAUUACGUUAACAGAACGACCUUCUUGGAUUACGAAGUCACUGCCAAGGACCCCGAGUUCUACUCUGGCUAUAUCAUGAACACUCUGCUACAGAAAGAGAGCUUCACGGAUGAUUUGACGCGGUUUCUUCUGAAAGAGCUUGAAACCGAGCACACAAAUAUCAGCUCUUUUGCAUUUACAGGAACUCUACUAGGAGGUAUUGUGAAAUACUUUUACAAUACGUACAAUGCUUAAUUGUGCAAUACUGUAAAUUAACGCGUAUGUCAAUUAUUAAAGAUAUAUGAACUAGGUAGCCCAGUGCUGAACCACGUGAUCACAUUGAUCGUGUUCCUUUCGCGAUAUUAAUUGCUUCUUAGUUUAACGUACGCUGAUUUGUCCCUAGCCUAUCCCUUUAUGUACGCCUUCAAAGUUUCGAAGUUAGAACUAUUCAAAGUAAAUAAAAUAAUUAUUUCUUUAUGGAAACACAAGAAAAAAAACCCAAAUGCAUCAUGAGCAUGUUUAGGAAAGGAAACCGUUGGUUUUGUGUCCCAAUUGAUUGGAUUUAUGUAACCCGCAUAUUAUACGUCUAUUGUAAAUUUCUGAAAGAUUAUUGGAAAUGUACAUAGGACUAUCUCUGAUUUGCCAAAACUUUUUGAAAUCUUAUUUCCUUUAUUUAUAACGAAUGUCAAAAUCUUAAUGCAAUCAUACCCGCCUCGACGUUGGGGACAAAUCUUAAAUAAGGGGCGAAAUGAUGCGGUGUCCUUGUGUGUAUAAAAGUUUGUUUUGUAAAAUCGUUGAUUGAGUCGUGGUUGUAUUUUGGGGUUUUUUUUCAAGGUGAAAUGAUGAAUGUUGGAGCUCACGAUACAUCCGUCCAUCCUGGAUUCCGGACAGCAUUAAUGUCGCUUUCAGCAACCAUAGGCUGGGAUACGAGUACCCUAGAUUACAGUGGUCUUCCGGAAAGAGGGGCUGUAGUGGGCGAACAACUCAGCACCUUCGGUGACGGCCAAUACCCGAACGAGGCAGGCAAGGACGUGGUGCAUUGGCAGCAAGAAUUCUGGGGAAGUAAUUACAAGCGUCUCUUGGCUAUCAAACACCAAUGGGACCCAGACAAUUUCUUCACGUGCAGAGAGUGUGUAGGAUCUGAGUCACAUCACACUCAUGCCUCUGGUCAUUUGAACACUCAUCCAUUUGUUCCUGCGGUCGGUUGAUCGUUUGGAAGUAAUAUGAUAUUAGACUCGGUACAGGUAGUUCUGACACUUGUAACCGAUAGUUGAAUAAAUAAAAUUAUG